CGAGUAAACCAGGCAGCCGCGUGGGCAUGCGCCGAAAGGCCGUUCACGAGGAAAGUCCGGGCUCCAUAGGGCAAGGAUAACGGGUAACGCCCGCCGAAGGCGACUUCAGGAAAAGUGCAACAGAGAUAUACCGCCGGGGUUUUCCCGGUAAGGGUGGAAAGGCGAGGUAAGAGCUCACCGGCCGCCGGGGAACCGGCCGGCCCUGUAAACUCUAUCCGGAGCAACACCGCAGAGGGGACAUUGGUCGGCCCGGCCGUCCCCGGGUAGGUGGCUUGAGCCCGGUGGCGACGCCGGGCCUAGACAGAUGGCUGUCAUUGACAGAACCCGGCUUACAGGUUUGCUCGCAGA
rnacentral:RNase_P_RNA from 2 species